rnacentral:rRNA from 1 species
GGCGGACGGGUGAGUAACGCGUAAGAACUUGCCCUUUAGACUGGGAUAACAGAGGGAAACUUCUGAUAAUACUGGAUAAGUUAGUAUAUCGCAUGAUAUGCAAAUGAAAGCUACGGCACUAAAGGAGAGCUUUGCGUCCUAUUAGCUAGUUGGUAAGGUAAGAGCUUACCAAGGCGAUGAUAGGUAGCCGGCCUGAGAGGGUGGACGGCCACAAGGGGACUGAGAUACGGCCCUUACUCCUACGGGAGGCAGCAGGC